rnacentral:misc_RNA from 1 species
AGACGUGGAAAGUGUACGGGUGUACAUAAUGUUCACAUUGAAAUCAUCGAUGCAAUGCAUCACGAAAGUGAUGUAUGAAGGAUGUAGUGGGUCGCUUACCGGCGACUUGCAAUGAUCGUCGUGCAUAGUCGUGUAAUAUGUG